GUAGGUGGCAAGCGUUGUCCGGAAUUAUUGGGGCGUAAAGCGCGCGCAGGCGGUCCUUUAAGGUCUGAUGUGAAAGCCCACGGCUCAACCGUGGAGGGUCAUUGGAAACUGGGGGACUUGAGUGCAGAAGAGAAGAGUGGAAUUCCACGUGUAGCGGUGAAAUGCGUAGAGAUGUGGAGGAACACCAGUGGCGAAGGCGACUCUUUGGUCUGUAACUGACGCUGAGGCGCGAAAGCGUGGGGAGCAAACAGGAUUAGAUACCCUGGUAGUCCACGCCGUAAACGAUGAGUGCUAAGUGUUAGAGGGUUUCCGCCCUUUAGUGCUGCAGCAAACGCAUUAAGCACUCCGCCUGGGGAGUACGGCCGCAAGGCUA
rnacentral:rRNA from 1 species